rnacentral:rRNA from 1 species
UACGUAGGUGGCAAGCGUUGCUCGGAAUCACUGGGCGUAAAGCGCACGUAGGCGGAUCUUUAAGUCAGGGGUGAAAUCCCAAGGCUCAACCUUGGAACUGCCUUUGAUACUGGGGAUCUCGAGUCCGGAAGAGGUGAGUGGAACUGCGAGUGUAGAGGUGAAAUUCGUAGAUAUUCGCAAGAACACCAGUGGCGAAGGCGGCUCACUGGUCCGGUACUGACGCUGAGGUGCGAAAGCGUGGGGAGCAAACAGG